AUAUCAUCACAUGCAUAGCUACUUGAACAUGAACACGUGAAAACUUUAAAAGUAUCAAAGAGCAGAAAAAAGAGUAGGCAAAGGGCGCAGAGUGAAAAAAUAUACACAUGCGCGACGCGCGCCUCGGCCCAAAAUAUUGUUUUGGACCACUUUGCCUGGCAACGGAAAGAAUACGCCGAGAAAAAGAAAAUGAAGAGAAG
ensembl:ncRNA C54H2.6 ncRNA